rnacentral:rRNA from 1 species
AUGAACGCCGCCCUAGAUGCCGCCGGAGUGGCCCGCCGCCGCAGCCCACGCCUCCAUCCCCAGGUUCAGGCGAAUGAGGAGGGAGCCGGACUGAAUCUGAGGCGCAGUGCGCGUCUCCAUCCCCCAGUCCACGCAAGUGACGAGGGCGACGGAGUCACCCGCCGCCGCAGCCCUCGCCUCCAUCCCCAGGUUCAAGGAGUGGCUCGUCGGCGCAGCACGCGCCUCCGUCCCAAGGUCCACGCCACUGAGGAGGCAUCCGGAGUGAUCCGCAGCAGUCGUCGCCGCCGCCACAGCUCGCCAGCGGCGCUGGCCUCACCGCUUGAAGAUGACGAUCUCCUGAGGGAGAUCCUGCUCCGUCUCCCGCCGCAGACCUCCUCCCUGCCCCGCGCCUCAGCCGUCUGCAAGCGGUGGCGACACGCCACCACCGACCCAAGGUUCCACCGCCAGUUCCGUGCAUAUCACCAAAAGCCGCCCCUCCUUGGUUUCUUCGAGGAUCUUAUUGUCAUUGCCCCCAUGAACGGCGAGGAGUGCCGUGUGUCCAUUCCGCCGGAGUUCAAUAAACGCUAUGUCAAUGGGGCGGUGCUCUGUGCUGCUACUGAUCACGACCAUGUGCACGAAAAAUGCCACUUGAGCCCAUUCAAGGUGAUCUUGCUAUCCACGAGCACCUACUAUAGUGGUCCACAACUCAUCUUAGCAUCUAUUUACUCUUCGAAGGCUGGCAUAUGGUGCGACGUCAUCUCAACACCGACUCCAUGUGAGCUUCCUGGUGGCGGUACUCAUGGGUCACUAGUUGGUAAUGCACUUUACUGGUUGUGUAGAGAUUACAUGAUUGAGUUUGAUUUGGAUGGGCACAUCCUAGCUUUGAUCAGUGCCCCUCCCACUAUAAAUGAGUCACGUCACUUUUUUGACAUGCGUGAGGUCAUCCAGAUCAUGGAUGGCGCUGUUGGUAUCGCCAUAUUGUCUCACUAUUACCAUAACAUUCAAAUGUGGCAAAGGAAGACCAUUGACAUGCAUAACAUUGAUGGGAUCCCCCCUGGGGUUGAAGGAGUGAGGCCAGGGUUGUUAUUUAGACUGAGAUAUGCUGAGGAUACUGAUGAAAUAUUUCUAUAUGUGGGCCAUAAUGUCUAUAUGGUUCAACUUAAGUCGAUGCAAUCGAAGAAACUUUGUGAAAGCAGUUGUGUCAGUGCUCAUCAUUCUUUCAAGAGUUUCUGUAUGCCAGGUGAUUGUUCUUCAUUAGUCCUCACACGUAGUAGUAACCUAGUUAUGUUCAUAAAGGGAUGA